rnacentral:rRNA from 1 species
GAUUACUAGGGAUUCCGACUUCACGCAUCCGAGUUGCAGACUGCGAUCCGGACUACGAUCGGCUUUUUGAGAUUAGCAUCCUCUCGCGAGGUAGCAACCCUUUGUACCGACCAUUGUAGCACGUGUGUAGCCCUGGUCGUAAGGGCCAUGAUGACUUGACGUCGUCCCCGCCUUCCUCCAGUUUGUCACUGGCAGUAUCCUUAAAGUUCCCACCCGAAGUGCUGGCAAAUAAGGAAAAGGGUUGCGCUCGUUGCGGGACUUAACCCAACAUCUCACGACACGAGCUGACGACAGCCAUGCAGCACCUGUAUGUAAGCUCCCGAAGGCACCAAUCCAUCUCUGGAAAGUUCUUACUAUGUCAAGACCAGGUAAGGUUCUUCGCGUUGCAUCGAAUUAAACCACAUGCUCCACCGCUUGUGCGGGCCCCCGUCAAUUCAUUUGAGUUUUAGUCUUGCGACCGUACUCCCCAGGCGGUCUACUUAUCGCGUUAGCUGCGCCACUAAAGCCUCAAAGGCCCCAACGGCUAGUAGACAUCGUUUACGGCAUGGACUACCAGGGUAUCUAAUCCUG